rnacentral:rRNA from 1 species
UACGUAGGGUGCAAGCGUUGUCCGGAAUUAUUGGGCGUAAAGAGCUUGUAGGCGGUCUGUCGCGUCGGAUGUGAAAAUCCAGGGCUCAACCCUGGACCUGCAUUCGAUACGGGCAGACUAGAGUUCGGCAGGGGAGACUGGAAUUCCUGGUGUAGCGGUGAAAUGCGCAGAUAUCAGGAGGAACACCGAUGGCGAAGGCAGGUCACUGGGCCGCAACUGACGCUGAGGAGCGAAAGCAUGGGGAGCGAACAGG